rnacentral:rRNA from 1 species
GGCUCAGGAUGAACGCUAGCGACAGGCCUAACACAUGCAAGUCGAGGGCAGCACAAGGAGCAAUCUGAGGUGGCGACCGGCGCACGGGUGAGUAACACGUAUGCAACCUGCCUGUAAGCGGGGAAUAACCCGUUGAAAGACGGACUAAUACCGCAUAAUACUAAAUUACUGCAUGGUAAUUUAUUUAAACAUUUAUGGCUUACAGAUGGGCAUGCGCAUGAUUAGCUAGUUGGAGAGGUAACGGCUCCCCAAGGCAACGAUCAUUAGGGGUUCUGAGAGGAAGGUCCCCCACACUGGUACUGAGACACGGACCAGACUCCUACGGGAGGCAGCAGUGAGGAAUAUUGGUCAAUGGACGAGAGUCUGAACCAGCCAAGUCGCGUGCAGGAAGAAUUGUCCUAUGGAUUGUAAACUGCUUUUGCAGGGGAAUAAAGUGCAUCACGUGUGAUGUUUUGUAUGUACUCUGCGAAUAAGGAUCGGCUAACUCCGUGCCAGCCGCCGC